UCAGGCCAUCAUCAUUUUGAAGCUGAAGAGAACCGGCCCAUGUGCUGGGAAACUUCAGCCGGGCGCUGUGGUGGAGAACGCUUUCAGUCAGGACCAGAAUGCUGAUAGUCUGAAUUACGCUUCAGUUCAGUUUAAAGAGAAGAAACCUAAACGAGAAGAGAGACGGAGGAGAGAGGAACCGGAGGAACUGGUCUACUCUCAAGUCAGAUCCACCACUCACCGUCCAAAACAUUAGAUCUACUAGAGCUUAGUAUUACAGUCUUUACAGACAGACAAAAAAGAUAGAUAGACAGGCAUACAGAUAUUAGAUGUUAGACAGAGCAACAUAUAUUAAGUAGAAUUAAAAAAAAACAUUGUACAGUAUUAAGAGUAAAUCUAUUAUCAUAUUUACA